rnacentral:rRNA from 1 species
UACGUAGGGUGCAAGCGUUGUCCGGAAUUAUUGGGCGUAAAGAGCUCGUAGGCGGUCUGUCGCGUCGGAUGUGAAAAUCCAGGGCUCAACCCUGGACCUGCAUUCGAUACGGGCAGACUAGAGUUCGGCAGGGGAGACUGGAAUUCCUGGUGUAGCGGUGAAAUGCGCAGAUAUCAGGAGGAACACCGGUGGCGAAGGCGGGUCUCUGGGCCGAUACUGACGUGAGGAGCGAAAGCGUGGGGAGCAAACAGG